rnacentral:rRNA from 1 species
UACGUAGGGUGCGAGCGUUGUCCGGAAUUAUUGGGCGUAAAGGGCUCGUAGGCGGUUUGUCGCGUCGGGAGUGAAAACCAGGUGCUUAACACCUGCUUGCUUUCGAUACGGGCAGACUAGAGGGUAUGCAGGGGAGAACGGAAUUCCUGGUGUAGCGGUGAAAUGCGCAGAUAUCAGGAGGAACACCGGUGGCGAAGGCGGUUCUCUGGGCAUGACCUGACGCUAG